GGCCUUUUUUGGUCACUGGACUUGCUCCAGGAAGCUGAGAGAGGCCGCAGGUAAUCGUGGGCUGCGACUGUUUACCAAAAACACAGGACUCUGCGAACACAUAAGUGGAUGUAUAGGGUCUGACGCCUGCCCGGUGCCGGAAGGUUAAUUGAUGGGGUCAGCCGCAAGGCGAAGCUCUUGAUCGAAGCCCCGGUAAACGGCGGCCGUAACAAUAACGGUCCUAAGGUAGCGAAAUUCCUUGUCGGGUAAGUUCCGACCUGCACGAAUGGCGUAACGCUGGCCCUACUGUCUCGACCAGAGACUCAGUGAAGUUGAAAUCGCUGUGAAGAUGCGGCGUAGCUGCGGAAAGACGGAAAGACCCCGUGAACCUUUACUACAGCUUUACACUGAACUUUGAAUUUGUUUGUGUAGGAUAGGUGGGAGCCUAUGAAGCAGGGGCGCUAGCUCUUGUGGAGGCAACCUUGAAAUACCACCCUGAUAACUUCGGAGUUCUAACCUAGUCCCGUAAUCCGGGAUGGGAACAAUGUAUGGUGGGUAGUUUGACUGGGGCGGUCUCCUCCCAAAGAGUAACGGAGGAGUGCAAAGGUACCCUCAGCGUGGUCGGUCAUCACGCUUCUGAGUGCAAUGGCAUAAGGGUGCUUGACUGCGAGACGUACACGUCGAGCAGGAACGAAAGUUGGUCAUAGUGAUCCGGUGGUUCUGUAUGGAAGGGCCAUCGCUCAACGGAUAAAAGGUACUCCGGGGAUAACAGGCUUAUUCCUCCCAAGAGUCCACAUCGACGGAGGAGUUUGGCACCUCGAUGUCGGCUCAUCACAUCCUGGGGCUGUAGCAGGUCCCAAGGGUUCGGCUGUUCGCCGAUUAAAGUGGUACGCGAGCUGGGUUCAAAACGUCGUGAGACAGUUUGGUCCCUAUCUUCCGUAGCCGUUGGAGAUUUGAGGGUGAGUUGCUCCUAGUACGAGAGGACCGGAGUGAACGUAUCUCUGGUGUUCCGGUUGUCACGCCAGUGGCACUGCCGGGUAGCUAUAUACGGACGGGAUAACCGCUGAAAGCAUCUAAGCGGGAAGCCCCCCCCAAGACAAGAUCUCCCUGAGGACUCGAUCCUCCUGAAGGGCCCAAGAAGACUACUUGGUUGAUAGGCUGGGUGUGUACGCACAGUAAUGUGCUUAGCUAACCAGUACUAAUUGCCCGUGAGGCUUGAUC
rnacentral:rRNA from 1 species